GCUGAAUUCUACUUUUGAAGUGGUGGUAUUCCGUGAGGAGGUGACAAGACUCCUCGAGGAGGGAGGUGUACCCGGGAGCCGCAUGGAGUGUGUGUGGUUCAGACAUCAACAGUCUUGAAUGAGCAAUCACAGGGCAUGUUCCCCAGACAGAAUGGAAACUGGCUGUUGGCCCUUGCCUGCCUCAUGUGAAACACCAAGUUUAAUUUCAGGUGGUGCCCUUGAGAGGCGAUUAGGUCGUAAGGGUGGAACCCUCAUGAAUGGUAUUAAUGCCCUUGGAAAAGAGGCUCCAGAGAGCUUUCUCACCCCUUCCACCAGGUGAGGACACAGUGAGAAGAUGGCCAUCUAUCAACCAGGAAGCAGGCUCUCACCAGACACUGAAUCUGGUGGCACCUUGAUCUUGGGCUUCCCAGCCUCCAGA